GCGGAUCUGGCUUAAUGGUAAAGCAUUACGUUGCCAAUGUAAGGAUUAGGGGUUCGAGUCCCCUGUUCCGCU
rnacentral:tRNA from 1 species